rnacentral:rRNA from 1 species
GGAAUUGACGGGGACCCCCCCAAGCCGGGGAUGAUGUGGAUAAUUUGAUUCAACCGCGAAAAACCCUUACCUACCCCUGACAUGUCUGGAACCUUGGUGAGAGCCGAGGGUGCCUUCGGGAGCCAGAACACAGGUGCUGCAUGGCUGUCGUCAGCUCGUGUCGUGAGAUGUUGGGUUAAGUCCCGCAACGAGCGCAACCCUUGUCACUAGUUGCCAUCAUUUAGUUGGGCACUCUAGUGAGACUGCCGGUGACAAACCGGAGGAAGGUGGGGAUGACGUCAAGUCCUCAUGGCCCUUAUGGGUAGGGCUUCACACGUCAUACAAUGGUCGGUACAGAGGGUUGCCAAGCCGCGAGGUGGAGCCAAUCCCUUAAAGCCGAUCGUAGUCCGGAUCGUAGUCUGCAACUCGACUACGUGAAGUCGGAAUCGCAAGUAAUCGCAGAUCAGCAUGCUGCGGUGAAUACGUUCCCGGGUCUUGUACACACCGCCCGUCACACCAUGGGAGUGGGUUUCACCAGAAGUAGGUAGCUUAACCUUCGGGAGGGCGCUUACCACGGUGAGAUUCAUGACUGGGGUGAAGUCGUAACAAGGUAACCGUAA